UACGUAGGGGGCAAGCGUUGUCCGGAAUGAUUGGGCGUAAAGCGUCUGUAGGUGGUUUAUUAAGUCUACUGUUAAAGAUCAGGGCUUAACCCUGAGCCGGCAGUGGAAACUAAUAAGCUUGAGUACGGUAGGGGCAGAGGGAAUUCCCGGUGUAGCGGUGAAAUGCGUAGAGAUCAGGAAGAACACCGGUGGCGAAAGCGCUCUGCUGGACCUUAACUGACACUGAGGGACGAAAGCUAGGGGAGCGAAUGGG
rnacentral:rRNA from 1 species